rnacentral:rRNA from 1 species
GAGCAACCUGCCUACAAGAGGGGGACAACAGUUGGAAACGACUGCUAAUACCGCAUAAGGCCACGCUAUCGCAUGGUAGAGAGGUCAAAGAUUUAUCGCUUGUAGAUGGGCUCGCGUCUGAUUAGCUAGUUGGUGAGGUAAUGGCUCACCAAGGCGACGAUCAGUAGCCGACCUGAGAGGGUGAUCGGCCACACUGGAACUGAGACACGGUCCAAACUCCUACGGGAGGCAGCAUG